GAAUUUCCUUAUUCGGUGGUAUAAUUUACUCUACAUGGAAACUCGGCGUUAUUUUGUUUACAGAUUUCGUUUCUCGCAAACUCAAAAGAGAGUUUAGCGCUGAAGAUGCAGUCAAAGUCAACCUAUACAGCAGCAAAAGCUCAGUCAAAGACCAAUGACCCGUCAAGACAGUCUAUCAAACAUGGACGCCAAGCAGAUGUAGGAGAUGUGGACUGUAUGAGCUGGCUGCUAUGGCUGAGCGGUUCUAGGCCCUUCAGUCCAGAACCGCCUGCUGCUGCGGUCGCAGGUUCGAAUCCUGCCUCAGGCAUGGAUGUGUGUGAUGUCCUUAGGUUAGUUAGGUUUAAGUAGUUCUAAGUCUAGGGGACUGAUGACCUCAGAUGUUAAGUCCCAUAGUGCUUGGAGCCAUUUGAAUCAGG